AGUGAACGCUGGCGGUAGGCCUAACACAUGCAAGUCGAACGGCAGCACAGUAAGAGCUUGCUCUUACGGGUGGCGAGUGGCGGACGGGUGAGGAAUACAUCGGACUCUACUUUUUCGUGGGGGAUAACGUAGGGAAACUUACGCUAAUACCGCAUACGACCUACGGGUGAAAGCAGGGGAUCUUCGGACCUUGCGCGAUUGAAUGAGCCGAUGUCGGAUUAGCUAGUUGGCGGGGUAAAGGCCCACCAAGGCGACGAUCCGUAGCUGGUCUGAGAGGAUGAUCAGCCACACUGGAACUGAGACACGGUCCAGACUCCUACGGGAGGCAGCAGUGGGGAAUAUUGGACAAUGGGCGCAAGCCUGAUCCAGCCAUACCGCGUGGGUGAAGAAGGCCUUCGGGCUGUAAAGCCCUUUUGUUGGGAAAGAAAAGCAGCAGGUUAAUACCCCGCUGUUCUGACGGUACCCAAAGAAUAAGCACCGGCUAACUUCGUG
rnacentral:rRNA from 1 species